rnacentral:rRNA from 1 species
AGAGACGCUGGCGGCGUGCCUAACACAUGCAAGUCGAGCGAAUGAAGUUCCUUCGGGAAUGGAUUUAGCGGCGGACGGGUGAGUAACACGUGGGCAACCUGCCUCAUAGAGGGGAAUAGCCUUCCGAAAGGGAGAUUAAUACCGCAUAAGAUUGUAGUAUCGCAUGAUACAGCAAUUAAAGGAGCAAUCCGCUAUGAGAUGGGCCCGCGGCGCAUUAGCUAGUUGGUGAGGUAACGGCUCACCAAGGCGACGAUGCGUAGCCGACCUGAGAGGGUGAUCGGCCACAUUGGGACUGAGACACGGCCCAGACUCCUACGGGAGGCAGCAGUGGGGAAUAUUGCACAAUGGGGGAAACCCUGAUGCAGCAACGCCGCGUGAGUGAUGACGGCCUUCGGGUUGUAAAGCUCUGUCUUCAGGGACGAUAAUGACGGUACCUGAGGAGGAAGCCACGGCUAACUACGUG